rnacentral:rRNA from 1 species
GUGGGGAAUAUUGGGCAAUGGGCGAAAGCCUGACCCAGCAACGCCGCGUGAGGGAAGAAGGCCUUCGGGUGGUAAACCUCUGUCCUUGGUGACGAAAAAAAUGACGGUAGCCAAGGAGGAAGCCCCGGCUAACUACGUGCCAGCAGCCGCGGUAAUACGUAGGGGGCGAGCGUUGUCCGGAAUUACUGGGCGUAAAGGGGGCGUAGGUGGCCUUUUAAGUUGGAUGUGAAAUCCCCGGGCUUAACUUGGGUGGUGCAUCGAAUACUGGAGGGCUAGGGUGAAGGAGAGGGAAGCGGAAUUCCUAGUGUAGCGGUGAAAUGCGUAGAUAUUAGGAGGAGCACCAGUGGCGAAGGAGGCUUUCUGGACUGUAACUGACACUGGGGCACGAGAGCGUGGGGAGCAAACAGGAUUAGAUACCCCGGUAGUCC